AUUGAACGCUGGCGGCAUGCCUUACACAUGCAAGUCGAACGGCAGCGGACCUUCGGGUGCCGGCGAGUGGCGAACGGGUGAGUAAUAUAUCGGAACGUACCUUUCAGUGGGGGAUAACGUAGCGAAAGUUACGCUAAUACCGCAUAUUCUGUGAGCAGGAAAGCAGGGGAUCGCAAGACCUUGCGCUGAUUGAGCGGCCGAUAUCAGAUUAGCUAGUUGGUGAGGUAAAGGCUCACCAAGGCGACGAUCUGUAGCGGGUCUGAGAGGAUGAUCCGCCACACUGGAACUGAGACACGGUCCAGACUCCUACGGGAGGCAGCAGUGGGGAAUUUUGGACAAUGGGCGCAAGCCUGAUCCAGCCAUGCCGCGUGAGUGAAGAAGGCCUCGGUUGUAAGUACGUCUUUCGGUCCGGG
rnacentral:rRNA from 1 species